GGUUCAUGUGUUUCCUAUUAACCUGGGAUCUGAGCAACGCCCAUCACUUCAUCUAACACCUUGUGAGUGGUGGCCAGGGAUCUGAUGUUUUGUGAAACAAUGCUCCUCACAGCUGAUGAACCAGAAGGGAAAAUCUGAGAGAGACAAUUCCAGAAGGACGCUCAUAUUACGUGUUUUAUAG
rnacentral:lncRNA from 1 species